rnacentral:rRNA from 1 species
GAUGAACGCUGGCGGCGUGCCUAACACAUGCAAGUCGAGCGAGAAGCUCAUGACGGAAUCUUCGGAGGACGGAUUGAGUGGAAAGCGGCGGACGGGUGAGUAACGCGUGGGUAACCUGCCCUGUACAGAGGAAUAGCCAUUGGAAACGAUGAUUAAUGCCUCAUAAGACUACAGUAUCGCAUGAUACAGUAGCCAAAACUCCGGUGGUACAGGAUGGACCCGCGUUAGAUUAGCUAGUUGGUAAGGUAAAGGCUUACCAAGGCGACGAUCUAUAGCCGACCUGAGAGGGUGAUCGGCCACACUGGAACUGAGACACGGUCCAGACUCCUACGGGAGGCAGCAGUGGGGAAUAUUGCACAAUGGGCGCAAGCCUGAUGCAGCAACGCCGCGUGAACGAAGAAAGGCUUUCGGGUCGUAAAGUUCUUUUCUUAGGAAAAAUGACGGUACCUAAGGAAUAAGCACGGCUAAAUACGU